rnacentral:rRNA from 1 species
ACUCCUACGGGAGGCAGCAGUGGGGAAUAUUGCACAAUGGGGGAAACCCUGAUGCAGCCAUGCCGCGUGUGUGAAGAAGGCCUUCGGGUUGUAAAGCACUUUCGGCGAGGAGGAAAGGGUGUAAGUUAAUACCUUACAUCUGUGACGUUACUCGCAGAAGAAGCACCGGCUAACUCCGUGCCAGCAGCCGCGGUAAUACGGAGGGUGCGAGCGUUAAUCGGAAUUACUGGGCGUAAAGCGUGCGCAGGCGGUUUGUUAAGCGAGAUGUGAAAGCCCCGGGCUCAACCUGGGAACCGCAUUUCGAACUGGCAAACUAGAGUCUUGUAGAGGGGGGUAGAAUUCCAGGUGUAGCGGUGAAAUGCGUAGAGAUCUGGAGGAAUACCGGUGGCGAAGGCGGCCCCCUGGACAAAGACUGGCGCUCAGGCACGAAAGCGUGGGGAGCAAACAGGAUUAGAUACCCUGGUAGUCCACGCCGUAAACGAUGUCUACUCGGAGUUUGGUGUCUUGAACACUGGGCUCUCAAGCUAACGCAUUAAGUAGACCGCCUGGGGAGUACGGCCGCAAUGUUAAAACUCAAAGGAAUUGACGG